UCUGCGUCUCUCUUCCUCCCAGUUGUUUAUUUCCGCCUCGGUAACGUGGUUGUCUGGUGUUGACAGAUGAAUGAUCUUCACUCUUCACAUGAUUCACAUGAUGGCUUGUUGGUCUGAAAGGCUUUGGCAUGCAUCGCUGGGAUUGGCUGGCUCCUCCUCGUGAGUGCAGAACGCAUAUUCUCAGGUGAUGAACACCACGGAUCGGAUUGAAGAGCUCUUCAUUUGAGAACCCUGCUGCCUUGUGUAACACAUGAAACCCACCCAAUAGGAUCCAAAAUGCAGAACCACCAAACCAAACAUCUGAUUCCAAUCAAUGGCUGUCCAUGAUCUGCUGUUGCUGACACUACAACAGUCACAUUCCAAACAGGUUUGCCUGUCAUCCCGACCUAAGAAACAGCAUUUGAAGAAAAUGGGAAGACUUAAAAAAGGAACCAAAGCAAAAAGAAAAGACUUAUGGGCAAUUGCUGGUGGAAUGGAAGUCCUGGUGUACUCAAUGUGGAGCCUGGACAUCAUUGAGAGAGAUACAGGUUACUCCUCAGCGAUCUGGUCUGAGCUAUCAAUAUCACUGUUUGGUAUAGACCAGAGAAAGAACCGUCACUGGUUGUGGGUGAUAUGGAAUAAAAAUCGAAACGGAGUGAGGGAUUUGGUUUUUCGACAGGAGGAAAUAUCAGAGAGCAUCACUUAUACAUUUGAGGGUAUAAAAGAAGAGGAUGAGUGUUCAUGGAUCAAACCAGAACCAGAGGAGUCAUUGGUCAUGGAGCAGUGGGCCGGAGGACCAGUGUCGGAGUGUCAGCAAUAUUUCUGAUGAAAAAACACAAGAUGAUGCAGGGAUGACCAACAGCAGUUUAACAGAAAGAUUUCACACGUAUAAACACCCAUAAAUAUAUGUACAUACAUGUAUAUAUGCCUAUGUCCACAUAUACUUCAUAUACACACUAGUAGUGUGUGUGUAAUUCUUUUUAUUUUUUUAUUGAGAUCAGUUGGAAUAUACAAUAUGAAUCUACAGACCUAAUGUAGGACCAGAUGUGGCAUCUUUUGAUGAUACAUUCUGAAGUGAUCCAAGUCAAUGUCCCAUGUUAAAAUGUGUGACUUUAAAGCAGAAAUAAAGAUA